GGCCGGGCCGCCCAGAGCUCGCCAUUGGGCCUCACUCCCGGGGUCCCGAGCGCCGGCCAUGCUGAUUGGCCGCUGGGGCUUCAUUCACAGCCCCCCUACAGUCCGCAUACACACUCACGCCCCGGGGGCGCGGCCGCCACGUGGGGAGUGGCGCGGGGGUGGUACUGGGACCGCACCCCCUCUCGUCCUGGCUGCGUGGGCCCGCUUUCCCCGGUCUCUGGAGACUCCGAGCCCGGCGGGUCCCACGCUCCACGCGAGCAGAAUUCCCGCAGGUCUCCCGCCCGGGUGGCCAGAGGCGGUGGCGGGGAUGGCGGGCUCCGGGAGGCGCUCCGGCUCCGAGAAGCCGCUUAGCCCCGCGCUCCUCCCUCCGCAGUGCCGCCGCCGGCGGGCCGGGAUUCCCGCGGGUCUCGGCGGCCGCGAGCUGCAGGCGGCGCGGGUCCCCGGCUCGGUUGGUCACCUUGCCCGCCUCGCCUCCCACGGCUUCCAGCGGGCGCGGAGCUCUCCUCUGCGCGCCUCCCCGGCCCGUCUCGGUUUCCCUUCUUCGUCCUCUAGACCAUCCAGCGCAACUCCGUCGACCUCCGCGGCCCUGAGAGAGCAUCCGGCGCGGGCAGAGGCGUACCGGCCCGACCUCACGCCUCUCAUGGACUCUUCUCCAGGGUACCAUGGCCCAGAUUGGGACUAUCAGUACCAUAGGCAGCCCACCUGUCUCACUAAGGAAAAGGAACAGAGAAGAGGAAAUGGAAAAGUUGCUCAAAAUUCAGAGGCCAAGGAAGGAGUCUGGUGGAUAAAGAAACCUGGGGAAGAAGGCUUUUUGGAUAGCACAAAGGAAAAGGAAGAUCUUGUUCUGAUGGGCUAUACUAACUUGGAAGUCAUGACUCCAUCUGUCUUCCCAUCCACCCAACCAUCUGUCUAUCAUCC
ensembl:lncRNA